AGUGAACGCUGGCGGUAGGCCUAACACAUGCGAGUCGAACGGCAGCACAGUAAGAGCUUGCUCUUACGGGUGGCGAGUGGCGGACGGGUGAGGAGUACAUCGGAAUCUACUUUUUCGUGGGGGAUAACGUAGGGAAACUUACGCUAAUACCGCAUACGACCUACGGGUGAAAGCAGGGGAUCUUCGGACCUUGCGCGAUUGAAUGAGCCGAUGUCGGAUUAGCUAGUUGGCGGGGUAAAGGCCCACCAAGGCGACGAUCCGUAGCUGGUCUGAGAGGAUGAUCAGCCACACUGGAACUGAGACACGGUCCAGACUCCUACGGGAGGCAGCAGUGGGGAAUAUUGGACAAUGGGCGCAAGCCUGAUCCAGCCAUACCGCGUGGGUGAAGAAGGCCUUCGGGUUGUAAAGCCCUUUUGUUGGGAAAGAAAAGCAGCAGGUUAAUACCCCGCUGUUCUGACGGUACCCAAAGAAUAAGCACCGGCUAACUUCGUG
rnacentral:rRNA from 1 species